rnacentral:rRNA from 1 species
GAUGAACGCUGGCGGCGUGCCUAAUACAUGCGAGUCGAGCGAACAGACCAGCAGUUCGUUCCUCUGACGUUAGCGGCGGACGGCUGAGUAACACGUGAAUAACCUACCUAUAAGACUGAGAUAACUUCGGGAAACCGGAGCUAAUACCGGAUAAUAUAUUGAACCGCAUGGUUCAAUAGUGAGUGACGGUUUUGCUGUCACUUAUAGAUGGUUCCGCGCCGCAUUAUCUAGUUGGUAAGGUAACGGUUUACCAAGGCAACGAUGCGUAGCCGUCCUGAGAGGGUGAUCGGCCACACUGGAACUGAGACACGGUCAAGACUCCGACGGGAGGCAGCAGUAGGGAAUCUUCCGCAAUGGGCGAAAGCCUGACGGAGCAACGCCGCGUGAGUGAUGAAGGUCUUCGGAUCGUAAUACUCUGUUAUUAGGGAAGAACAAAUGUGUAAGUAACUAUGCACGUCUUGACGGUACCUAAUCAGAAAGCCACGGCUAACUACGUG